GACAGAGGGUGCAAACGUUGUUCGGAAUUACUGGGCGUAAAGCGAGUGUAGGCGGUGUGGUAAGUCGGAUGUGAAAGCCCCGGGCUCAACCCGGGAAGUGCACUCGAUACUGCCACGCUAGAGUAUCGGAGAGGUUGGUGGAAUUCUCGGUGUAGAGGUGAAAUUCGUAGAUAUCGAGAGGAACACCGGUGGCGAAGGCGGCCUUCUGGACAGUGACUGACGCUGAGACGCGAAAGCGUGGGGAGCAAACAGG
rnacentral:rRNA from 1 species